GACGAACGCUGGCGGCGUGCUUAACACAUGCAAGUCGAACGGCAAGGCCCUGCUUUUUUGCGGUGCUCGGUUGGCGAACGGGUGCGUAACACGUGUGUAACCUGCCCUUGACUUUCGGGUAACUUCAGGAAACUGGGGCUAAUACAGGAUAGGAGCUCCUGCUCCAUGGUGGGGGUUGGAAAUUUUCGGCGGUUGGGGAUGGACUCGCGGCUUAUCAGCUUGUUGGUGGGGUAGUGGCUUACCCAGGCUUUGACGGGUCGCCGGCAUGAGAGGGUGACCGGCCACAUUGGGACUGAGAGACGGCGCAGACUCCUAUGGGAGGCAGCAGGGGGGAACAUUGCACAAUGGGCGGAAGCCUGAUGCAGAAACGCUGCGGUCGUGAUGACGGUUUGUGGGUUGUAAACCGCUUCCGCCUGUGACGAAGCGUGAGUGACGGUAAUGGGUAAAGAAGCACCGGCUAACUACGUG
rnacentral:rRNA from 1 species